rnacentral:rRNA from 1 species
AUUGAACGCUGGCGGCAGGCCUAACACAUGCAAGUCGAGUGAGCGGCGGACGGGUGAGUAAUGUAUGGGGACUGCCCGAUAGAGGGGGAUAACUACUGGAAACGGUAGCUAAUACCGCAUACUAUCGGAUAACCCAUAUGGGAUUGGCUAGUAGGUGGGGUAAUGGCUCACCUUGGCGACGAUCCCUAGCUGGUCUGAGAGGAUGAUCAGCCACACGGGGACGGAGACACGGCCCAGACUCCUACGGAGGCAGCAGUGGGGAAUAUUGCACAAGGGGCGCAAGCCGGAUGCAGCCAUGCCGCGUGUAUGAAGAAGGCCUUCGGGUUGUAAAGUACGUUUGGCAGAGAAGCGGUAUCUGCAGAAUAAGCACCGGCUAACUACGUGCCAGCAGCCGCGGUAAUUC